GCUAUGUGACCACGUUCCAGAAGUAUUCUCUCCUGACGUUUCGCCCACAUCUAUGGCAGGCAUCCUCAGAGGUUGUGAGGCAUGGAUAAACUAGGAAAGGAAAAAAAUAUAUAUAUGUGGAGAGUCCAGGGUGUGGCAAGAGUCCUUUGUCACUGGGAAGCCAGCAUUAAUGUUUCAGUUAAUCACCCUAAUUAGCAUUGGAAAGGUUUUUGUCUCUUGCCUGGGGGACAUCCUUUGUUCAGUCAAUAGCUGUCCUUGGGUCUCCUUUUCCUUCAGAGUGUUGGUUCCCAUCUACUGUUUGAUGCCUGCCAUAGAUGUGGGCGAAAUGUCAGGAGAGAAUACUUCUGGAACAUGGCCACACAGCCCGAAAGACAUACAACAACCCUGUGAUCCCGGCCAUGAAAGCCUUCGACAACACAUAUUCGCAGAAUGGCAUAUAGGAAGGCAGGGAGAGAUAUGGGAACCAUCGCUCUAGUUCAUCGCAUUAGAAAUGUGAUCGAGGUGACCCCCCCCCCCCACAAGGACUUUGUAAAAGAUAGUUCAAAAAUCAAGGCUUUAUGUCCUAUAUUUCAGAUAUUUAUAGCAGAAGGUGAUUGAGAUAUUUUACUGGAGUUUACUGUGAUUUACUAAAAUCCCUGCACAAAAGGUGUUUGACUUUUUAGCCUGAGGCAAGAGAUAACAGCUUCCCACCUUUCAAUCUCUUUUCCUGUCCACCAACAUUUUUCUGUUCUUGAGUUGGGAGUAGAGUAACUGCUUUGGAAGAUGGUGACUGGGCAUUAGGACAAUGUGGCCUUCAGUUCAGCGAAGGAAACUGGAGUUGCUUCUGGAGUGAGAGAAUUGGCUGUCUGCAAGGAUGUUGCCCAGGGGACAUUUGGAUGUUUUGAUGUUUUACCAUCCUUGUGGGAGGCUUCUCUUGUUUCUUCGCAUGGAGCUGGAGCUGAUAGAGGGAGCUCAUCCACACUCUCCCCGGGGUGGGAUUUGAACCUGGCAGCUUUCAGGUCAACAGCCCAACCUCCAACUUCCAACCUCCUCCAACNNNNNNNNNNNNNNNNNNNNNNNNNNNNNNNNNNNNNNNNNNNNNNNNNNNNNNNNNNNNNNNNNNNNNNNNNNNNNNNNNNNNNNNNNNNNNNNNNNNNUUCAACCUCCAUCCUCCUCCAACCAACCUCCAACCAACCUCCAACCUCCUCCAACCUCCUCCAUCCUCCUCCAACCUCCUCCAUCCUCCUCCAACCAACCUCCAACCUCCUCCAACCAACCUCCAACGUCCAACCUCCUCCAACCAACCUCCAACCUUCAAACUCCUCCAACCUCCAACCUGCUCCAACUUCCAACCUUCUCCAACCUCUUCCAACCUCCUCCAACCUCCAACGUCCUCCAACCAACGUCCUCCAACCAACCUCCAACCAACCUCCAACCAACCUCCUCCAACCAACCUCCAACCUCCAACCAACCUCCAACCAACCACCUCCAACCUACCUCCAACCUCCAACCUCCAACCUCCUCCAACCUCCAACCCCCAACCUCCUCCAACCUCCUCCAACCUCUUACCUCAGGUUCCAACCUCCAACCUCGAGUAACAUAAUGUACUCAGUCUCUAUUAGUAGUACUCCAUCUCUAGCAGGUGGCUUGAUUGUUGCUGGCCAUACAGUGUUUAGUCAUGAUCCUUACAAUCACUUACCCAUUUUCACUUAAGAAAUGAUAUAAAACUCUGACAAAAGGCCUUUCUAGGCAUGCAUGGGAAUAAGAGAGGAUUCCCUCAUUCUAAUCCUAUCCUCUACCUCACUGCUCAUUGAGGCCUUGAGACUUGUGUAGUCCAGGAUGACAGCCAACAAACUGUCUUUCCUCUCACCUCUACAGGAGUCUAUCGUAUCCCAUGCAGCUGUGGACAAGUCUACAUAGGGACCACCAAACGCAGCAAUGCCCAAACACGAGUCAAAGAACAUGAAAGGCACUGCAGACUCACUCAACCAGAGAAAUCAGCCAUAGCAGAGCACCUGAGGAACCAACCUGGACACAGUAUAUUAUCUGAGAACACAGAAAUGCUGGACCACUCAUGUCAGAUGACACAGAGGAGCCAUUGAAAUUCACAAGCAUGUGGACAACUUCAACAGAAAGGAGGAAACCAUGAAAAUGAACAAAAUCUGGCUUCCAGUAUUAAAUCAAAAACCAGAACAGUAAAUAGGAAGCAACACUCUGAAAACAAAGUUCCAAGGGCAGCUAAUGACUCUGAACAAAGGAUGCCCCCAGGCAGAAAUAGCCAGGAGAUGAACCUUUCCAAUGCUAAUUAAGGUGAUUAACUGCAACAUUCACACUGGCCUCCAACUGACCAAGAGUUCUUCUCACACCCUGGACUUUCCAUAGAUAUAUAUAAACCUUCCUUGGUCAGUUUCUCCAUGCCUCACAAUCUCUGAGGAUGCCUGCCAUAGAUGUGGGUGAAACGUCAGGAGAGAAUACUUCGAGAACAUGGCCAUACAGCCCGGAAAACAUACAACACCUGAACAUCAGGAAGAACUUCCUCACUGUGAGAAGGGCUGUUCAGCAGUGGAACUCUCUGCCACGGACUGUGGUGGAGGCUCCUUCUUUGGAGGCUUUUAAGCAGAGGCUGGAUGGCCAUCUGUCGGGGGUGCUUUGAAUGCGAUUUCCUGCUUCUUGGCAGAAUGGGGUUGGACUGGAUGGCCCAUGAGGUCUCUUCCAACUCUACUAUUCUAUGAUUCUAACAAUCCUGUGAUCCUGGCCAUGAAAGCCUUCGAUAACACAUUGUCUUUCAGGUUGCUUAGGUAAACAACGAGCUGGGGCUAUUUAAUAGUCGGGCACUCAAUCUGAUCCGGGCUUCGAACUCAUGACCUCUCGGCCAGUAAUAAUAAUAAUAAUAAUAAUAAUAAUAAUAAUAAUAAUAAUAAUAAUAGAAUCAUAGAAUCAUAGAAUCAUAGAAUAGUAGAGUUGGAAGAGACCUCAAGGGCCAUCUAGUCCAACCCCCCGCUAAGAAGCAGGAAAUCGCAUUCAAAGCACCCCCGACAGAUGGCCAUCCAGCCUCUGCUUAAAAGCUUCCAAAGAAGGAGCCUCCACCACAUUCCGGGGGAGAGAGUUCCACUGCCGAACAGCCCUCACAGUGAGGAAGUUCUUCCUGAUGUUCAGGUGGAAUCUCCUUUCCUGUAGUUUGAUUAUUAAUAUUAAUUAAUAAUAUUAAUUAUUAUUAUUAUUAUUAAUAAUAAUAAUAAUAACUUUAUUUUUAUACCCCGCCUCUAUCUCCCCGGAGGGGACUCAGGGCGGCUUACAUGGGGCCAAGCCCGAAUAAAAACAGUAGCAGUAUAAAACACAGCAAUAGUGUAGUAGUGAUUUAUGGCAGCUGGCUACUAACCAGCUGCGCCACAGCCC
ensembl:lncRNA